UCCUGGCUUAGGAUGAACGCUGGCGGCGUGCUUAACACAUGCAAGUCGAACGAAGCACUGAAGAAUGGAGAUUCGUCAAAGUUCUCUUGACUGAGUGGCGAACGGGUGAGUAAUGCGUGAGCAACCUGCCCUUCAGAGGGGGACAACAGUUGGAAACGACUGCUAAUACCGCAUGAUGUGUUUGGAUGGCAUCGUCUGAACACCAAAGGAGAAAUCCGCUGAGGGAUGGGCUCACGUCUGAUUAGCUUGUUGGCAGGGUAACGGCCUACCAAGGCGACGAUCAGUAGCCGGACUGAGAGGUUGAACGGCCACAUUGGGACUGAGAUACGGCCCAGACUCCUACGGGAGGCAGCAGUGGGGAAUAUUGGGCAAUGGGGCCGAAAGCCUGACCCAGCAACGCCGCGUGAAGGAAGAAGGCCUUCGGGUUGUAAACUUCUUUUAACAGGGACGAAGAAGUGACGGUACCUGUUGAAUAAGCCACGGCUAACUACGUGCCAGCCGCCGC
rnacentral:rRNA from 1 species